UGGGGAAUCUUCCGCAAUGGACGAAAGUCUGACGGAGCAACGCCGCGUGAGUGAAGAAGGUUUUCGGAUCGUAAAACUCUGUCUUUUGGGGCGAACGUGAGUAUGGUGAACAAUCAUAGUCAGUGACGGUACCAAAGGAGGAAGCCACGGCUAACUACGUGCCAGCAGCCGCGGUAAUACGUAGGUGGCAAGCGUUGUCCGGAAUUAUUGGGCGUAAAGAGCGCGUAGGCGGGAUAGUCAGUCUGUUGUAAAAGUGCGGGGCUCAACCCCGUGAUGGCAAUGGAAACAGUUAUUCUUGAGUGCAGGAGAGGAAAGUGGAAUUCCCAGUGUAGCGGUGAAAUGCGUAGAUAUUGGGAGGAACACCAGUGGCGAAGGCGACUUUCUGGACUGUGUCUGACGCUGAGGCGCGAAAGCCAGGGGAGCGAACGGGAUUAGAUACCCCGGUAGUCCUGGCCGUAAACGAUGGGUACUAGGUGUGGGAGGUAUCGACCCCUUCCGUGCCGGAGUUAACGCAAUAAGUACCCCGCCUGGGGAGUACGGUCGCAAGACUGAAACUCAAAUGAAUUGACGGGGUCAUAGCUGUUUCCUG
rnacentral:rRNA from 1 species